GUUUGCACUCAUCGGGGAAGGGUGAGAACCUUCGACUAAGGUUCGAUUCGAGCGAAAGCGAGAGAACGUUGCCACAGGCAACGGCCCGAAGGGCGAAGCGCGCAGCGCUGAGUAAUCCUUCCCCCACCACCA
rnacentral:sRNA from 1 species